UUUUUGUGGGGGCUGUGGCUUUUGUUGCAGUGGGGGGCGUCCUCCUGGAACUCCCUGGCUUGCAGGUCGUGGCUGCUGGGUGGUAGCCCCCCCAGAGCGAGCCUGCUGGCCAGGAGGCCUCUGCUGCCCGCUUUGUGACUGCUGUCUGGGUGGCUGAGCGGGUCUCUGUUGCUGAGGUUUCUGACCGCCCCCCCCUGGAGGAGGUCUUUGUUGCUGCUGAGUGACAGACUGCUGCCUCUGAGCUUGAGGGGAGCCUCCCUGGUUUCGCUGAGGAGCCCCUUGGCUGCCCUUAACCUGGGAAUUUGGAUCAGCUGCAGUUUGCUGAGCCUGUGCGGGGGGUUGGCCCUGAGACGGGGGACGCUGCUGAGAAGGGGAACCUUGCUGAGGAGCACCUGAGGAAAAAAAAAGAGCAAUCACACCGCGUUUGACUACUUGACUGCAAUUUGAAAUGAGAAAAAGUAUAGUCACCCGCAACACACCCACCAAUAAAACAUGCUGUGGAGGGGGGCGUGACCUGCGGACCUGCAGCGAAACUGGGUGUGCCAGGACCGGCUUCAAGAUCAGCGACAGGCAACAGCCGGAGAGGAGGAGGGGAGAACUGGAGCGAGAGCGAGAGAGAGACAGCCGGAAACGAACACUUGCUGAUAAGCACAACGAAAAUACUUUAUUACAAAAUAAAACAGUGUUGUAAACCCUGAAGCUGGACUGUCACGUCAGUGCUUGGUGGUUCGAGGAGCCCCGAGGAGAGAAACCUCCACACAUGCAUUUUGUUUUCUAUUUGCACAUGCUAUGUAGCACUUAUCAUUUGGGAUCUUGGUGGAUCAGGUCCAAAGUGUGCAACAGGCCUGUGCAAACCUCAGAAUUUGGUAUAUCAAUUCAAGACAUUUGAAGAAUUUUGAAUUGAAUUGAAUUGUAUUGUACUGAUUUGAAUUGCAUUGAAUUGAACCUACAGGAUGUUGAAUUAGAAUUGCAAUUAAAGAGAGUGAAAUUCAAUCAAUCAAUCAAUCAAUGUUUAUUUAUAUAGCCCUAAAUCACAAGUGUCUCAAAGGGCUGCACAAACCACGACAUCCUCGGUAGAGCCCACAUUAAAUUAAAUUCAGAUCCAUUCCUUAUCGCUAAGUAACUGGAAGGAAGGAAGUAUAUUCCCAUCCCCUUUUUUAAACUUUGAAUUAAUAUAAAUUUAAUUUUUUUAUACCUACAAAAUUGGCUAAGCUGCUAACGUGCUAACCCGUCGCAUGUUACAACUUGGCAUGCUAACAGGCAUUACUUUUUGUUCUAUACCUACAAAAUUUGAUAUAAUGGUAACGUGCAAACCAAUAGCAUGCAAAUAUGCUAUGUUAGCAUGAAGCAUGACAGCACUAAAAGUAAAGGGAGCGCUAAAUAGCCACAAUGAGUUUUGAAUUUUGAUGUAUGAACAGCUUGAAUCUGUCGAGAAAUGUGGAAGUACUCCAUUUGGGACUGCAAUUAUACUCCCUGUUUGCAACCUCAAUUCGAAAUUAUGAAAUGUUUUGGGAAUUUGAGAGACAACAGCACUCAAGUGAAUAGUCCACUUACUUAGUAACCUUAUGGCCAUUCCUAAUGGUGUCCAUGUUGACUGUGUAUGUGCCUGACGAGUCAGCCACCAUGUUGAUUUCAGAAAAUUCCGCCUAAAAAAAAAACACAUUGACAGUAUUUAUGCCCCUACAACAACUCAUA